UACAGAGGGGGCACGCGUUGUUCGGAAUUACUGGGCGUAAAGGGCGCGUAGGCGGCCUGCUAAGUCGAACGUGAAAUCCCUGGGCUCAACCCAGGAACUGCGUCCGAUACUGGUUGGCUUGAAUCCGGGAGAGGGAUGUGGAAUUCCAGGUGUAGCGGUGAAAUGCGUAGAUAUCUGGAGGAACACCGGUGGCGAAGGCGACAUCCUGGACCGGUAUUGACGCUGAGGCGCGAAAGCCAGGGGAGCAAACGGG
rnacentral:rRNA from 1 species